ACCGCAUGGUUUUGCAAUCAAAGGAGCAAUCCGCUGAGAGAUGGACUCGCGUCCGAUUAGCCAGUUGGCGGGGUAACGGCCCACCAAAGCGACGAUCGGUAGCCGGACUGAGAGGUUGACCGGCCACAUUGGGACUGAGACACGGCCCAGACUCCUACGGGAGGCAGCAGUGGGGGAUAUUGCACAAUGGGGGAAACCCUGAUGCAGCAACGCCGCGUGUGGGAAGAAGGUUUUCGGAUUGUAAACCACUGUUCUCAGGGACGAUAAUGACGGUACCUGAGGAGAAAGCUCCGGCUAACUACGUGCCAGCAGCCGCGGUAAUACGUAGGGAGCGAGCGUUGUCCGGAUUUACUGGGUGUAAAGGGUGCGUAGGCGGCUCUGCAAGUCAGUCGUGAAAACCAUGGGCUCAACCCGUGGACUGCGAUUGAAACUGUGGAACUUGAGUGAAGUAGAGGCAGGCGGAAUUCCCGGUGUAGCGGUGAAAUGCAUAGAGAUCGGGAGGAACACCAGUGGCGAAGGCGGCCUGCUGGGCUUUAACUGACGCUGAGGCACGAAAGUAUGGGUAGCAAACAGGAUUAGAUACCCUGGUAGUCCAUACCGUAAACGAUGAUUACUAGGUGUGGGGGGUCUGACCCCCUCCGUGCCGGAGU
rnacentral:rRNA from 1 species